rnacentral:rRNA from 1 species
UACGGGGGGAGCAAGCGUUAAUCGGAAUUACUGGGCGUAAAGUGUGCGCAGGCGGCCGAGCAAGUCGAGUGUGAAAGCCCCGAGCUUAACUUGGGAACUGCGCUCGAAACUACUUGGCUAGAGUGUGGCAGAGGGAGGUGGAAUUCCACGUGUAGCGGUGAAAUGCGUAGAGAUGUGGAGGAACACCGAUGGCGAAGGCAGCCUCCUGGGCCAACACUGACGCUCAUGCACGAAAGCGUGGGGAGCAAACAGG